AUUCCCGGUAGAAAUCCAGGCGCUGGAAUAGGUUGCCCGGGGAGGUGCUGGAGUCACCACCCCUGGAGGUGUUUAAAACGCGUCUGGAUCUGGCACCGGGUGAUGUGGUUUAGUGGUUUGGGAGUUAUAGUGCUGGGCUGAUGGCUGGACUCGAUGAUCUUAAAGAUCUCUUCCAGCUCUGAUGAUUCUAUGAUAUUAUGAUUCUAAACACAAACAAACGAACACCACAGCAGUUAUCCUGCACAUUAACAGGUGGUUUACAUUCCAUGGCUCCUCAGCAGCGGGUUUGGACAGCUCCUGGAAGGGCCAAGGGCAGAGCCAGCUCGCAGGGCUUCUCCUCAAAAAAGGGGGGACCAGGCUUGUUUUCCCCUUCUGAUGAAAAUAAACCCAAGUACUCCUGCGUUCCAAGAGCUGCAGCAGCCGUCCAAGAUCCCACACCACCACUGAGGGAACUGCACCGGAGUCUCUGGCAAGUUCAACUCCACUGCAUCUUUCAUCCCAGUCACCUUUUAAGCUCCUUAUCUGAUCUGCCUCUUCCUCUUAAGUCCCCAGUCCUUCCUCUAGUAGUUCCCCUGCUACAGAGGCUUUUAACCUUCACAAAGCAGCUCAGCCCUGACACGCUGAAGGACUGAAAACUGAUCGCAGACAAGUGAUGUUUGCCCGACCCUUUUCCCUUCCCUUCAGGCACUAGAAGGAAGUUAUUUUAUAAGAAGUCUUUCCCUGGUGCCCAGGCUGCUCCCCCUGCUGCUGCUGCCUUGGCAACCCCUUAUCAGCAGCACAUUUACCCUCAUUUAUUCUCCGUAGGCCAGCUGAGGUGGCCCCUCCAAAUCACAGAAAUUCACGCCUUUAAAGUUUAUUCAUGGGGGUUUAGUUCAAAAAUAAAAAAAAGCUCCUGCCAGUUCUUGGGAUAUGCGUUUACUGCACUUGAAAAUUCCCUUUUCCUGGGCUUUUCUCCACACUAUAUUAAGCAAUAAGCUCCAAGGGCUCAGUGAAAGGUUCAGGCAUUACAGGUCAAGUACUGUCUUGUACACCAGCUUCUGUUGCCAUAAUUUAUUGGUUGCUGAUUUAGACCAGUUUAUAUAACAUGCAAGAUGAAGCAAACCAGUCACUUACUACAAAAA